CUUACAAAGAUGCCGAAUCUCCUUUAUGGAGUACGGGGGAUAUCCUAUGGGGUGAAUCUUUUAAAAGUAGGGUACCUCUAACCCGAACCCGUCAACUAACCUCGGAGGCAAAAUGGAGGUAUAAA
rnacentral:sRNA from 2 species